rnacentral:snRNA from 1 species
ACAGAUAGCCCCUAUCGGAGACACCAUGAUCAGGAAGGUGGUUUUCCCAGGGCGAGGCUUAGCCAUUGCACUCCCGGUGUGCUGACCCCUGUGAUUUCCCCAAAUGUGGGAAACUCGACUGCAUAAUUUGUGGUACUGGGGGACUGCGUUCGCGCUCUCCCCUG